AUGCAGCAGAUAAGCGUGGGAGGCAGCGCAGACCACGCUGGGCGAGAGGAAAAGUACUGCAGGAGCAGAAGAAAACUGUUUUGGCAAACUACAGAAGACUUGGUUGAAAAAGGUACACUCUUACACACAUGGACACUACGGCAUUUUCCUGUAAUUAAGAAGGUGGCUGCAAAUGAAACCAGCAUUUUCCCCUCCCCACCAACGUACUCUGCCCACUUCAGCAUCUUCUGCAACCUGGUGUUGUUCCUCCUGGAGAAGCUUGGCUUCCUGCAGGGCACAGGGCAGGCUGUGCUUUGGGAGCGGGAGAAGGGAGGUCUAGUGGAAGCAGCUGCAGCCUGUAAGCACUUUGACUCAGAGGAAGGCUUGCAUGGAAAGAGAAAAGGGGUUGGACUGAUUGGAAAGGAAACUGGGCAGUAA
rnacentral:lncRNA from 1 species